GUCAUCGUGGGCAAACUUGAAACUAGACAAAGAUCUGACUCUUUAACAACAGAGGCCAGAAGACAGUAUACUAUAUUCCUAUUUGCUGGUUGAUAUGAUCAAGAGGGCAAAUAAGAAGAGAAUUUGGAUUUGAACGAACGUGAUACUGAAGUGACUGUGAAUAACAACCACUGAUUAAAAUAUAUAUGGAAUAUACUAAUAUGUUAAUUAUGCAGCUUAAGAAACAAGAGGUUAAGCUGGGCUGGGAUUUUAAAAGAUCGUUUCAUAGAAGAGGUGACAUUUGGAUGAAAAGUCAGAUAUGGACAGAAGCAUAAUGCGAAUUGAUUUGCAUCAUUAAAAGAUCCUCAAAUGACAGGUGAAUUUUCAAAGCUUUCAAAGAAAGUAUAUACUGAACUUAAUGUAGCUUGAUUGAGUUGACACUUCAUAACAGAGCUGAUUGGCAGAUGUGCCCAGAUUCUCUGGGAUUCCAUGAAGUGGAAAGCUGUAAUUGAUGCUGAAGAGUAUAAAGACAAAGGCACUUUCUUCAAAGACAGUCCUAGUCACUGCAGGCAACAUUGGAACCUUCAAUAGUUGGAGCUGGAGGCCUUCACCAGAAAGCAGUCUCUCACCUAUGUUUUUGCUCUACCUUUCACUCCUAAUCAGCUUUGGUACAAGUAUGAUCCUCAGUUAUCAGACCCUAUCAUACAUCUGUAAACUUUGAAAAU